rnacentral:rRNA from 1 species
CGGGUGAGUAACACGUGAGCAACCUGCCCCUGACUCUGGGAUAAGCGGUGGAAACGCCGUCUAAUACCGGAUACGACCCGCCACCUCAUGGUGGAGGGUGGAAAGUUUUUCGGUCAGGGAUGGGCUCGCGGCCUAUCAGCUUGUUGGUGGGGUAACGGCCUACCAAGGCGAUUACGGGUAGCCGGCCUGAGAGGGCGACCGGCCACACUGGGACUGAGACACGGCCCAGACUCCUGCGGGAGGCAGCAGUGGGGAAUAUUGCGCAAUGGGCGAAAGCCUGACGCAGCGACGCCGCGUGGGGGAUGACGGCCUUCGGGUUGUAAACCUCUUUUACCACCAACGCAGGCUUCCAGUUCUCUGGAGGUUGACGGUAGGUGGGGAAUAAGGACCGGCUAACUACGUGCCAGCAGCCGCGGUAAUACGUAGGGUCCGAGCGUUGUCCGGAAUUAUUGGGCGUAAAGAGCUCGUAGGCGGCGUGUCGCGUCUGCUGUGAAAGACCGGGGCUUAACUCCGGUUCUGCAGUGGAUACGGGCAUGCUAGAGGUAGGUAGGGGAGACUGGAAUUCCUGGUGUAGCGGUGAAAUGCGCAGAUAUCAGGAGGAACACCGGUGGCGAAGGCGGGUCUCUGGGCCUUACCUGACGCUGAGGAGCGAAAGCAUGGGGAGCGAACAGGAUUAGAUACCCUGGUAGUCCAUGCCGUAAACGUUGGGCGCUAGGUGUGGGGACUUUCCACGGUUUCCGCGCCGUAGCUAACGCAUUAAGCGCCCCGCCUGGGGAGUACGGCCGCAAGGCUAAAACUCAAAGGAAUUGACGGGGGCCCGCACAAGCGGCGGAGCAUGUUGCUUAAUUCGACGCAACGCGAAGAACCUUACCAAGGUUUGACAUCACCCGUGGACUCGCAGAGAUGUGAGGUCAUUUAGUUGGCGGGUGACAGGUGGUGCAUGGCUGUCGUCAGCUCGUGUCGUGAGAUGUUGGGUUAAGUCCCGCAACGAGCGCAACCCUUGUUCCAUGUUGCCAGCACGUAAUGGUGGGGACUCAUGGGAGACUGCCGGGGUCAACUCGGAGGAAGGUGGGGAUGACGUCAAGUCAUCAUGCCCCUUAUGUCUUGGGCUGCAAACAUGCUACAAUGGCCGGUACAAUGGGCGUGCGAUACCGUAAGGUGGAGCGAAUCCCUAAAAGCCGGUCUCAGUUCGGAUUGGGGUCUGCAACUCGACCCCAUGAAGGUGGAGUCGCUAGUAAUC